CAAGGAAGAGAUCAUCAAUUACGAAUUUGACACCAAGGACCUGGUGUGCCUGGGCCUGAGCAGCAUCGUUGGCGUCUGGUACCUGCUGAGGAAGCACUGGAUUGCCAACAACCUUUUUGGCCUGGCCUUCUCCCUUAAUGGAGUAGAGCUCCUGCACCUCAACAAUGUCAGCACUGGCUGCAUCCUGCUGGGCGGACUCUUCAUCUACGAUGUCUUCUGGGUAUUUGGCACCAAUGUGAUGGUGACAGUGGCCAAGUCCUUCGAGGCACCAAUAAAAUUGGUGUUUCCCCAGGAUCUGCUGGAGAAAGGCCUCGAAGCAAACAACUUUGCCAUGCUGGGACUUGGAGAUGUCGUCAUUCCAGGGAUCUUCAUUGCCUUGCUGCUGCGCUUUGACAUCAGCUUGAAGAAGAAUACCCACACCUACUUCUACACCAGCUUUGCAGCCUACAUCUUCGGCCUGGGCCUUACCAUCUUCAUCAUGCACAUCUUCAAGCAUGCUCAGUUAUGAGGAGUCAAAUCCUAAGGAUCCAGCGGCAGUGACAGAAUCCAAAGAGGGAACAGAGGCAUCAGCAUCGAAGGGGCUGGAGAAGAAAGAGAAAUGAUGCGGCUGGUGCCCGAGCCUCUCAGGGCCAGACCAGACAGAUGGGGGCUGGGCCCACACAGGCGUGCACCGGUAGAGGGCACAGGAGGCCAAGGGCAGCUCCAGGACAGGGCAGGGGGCAGCAGGAUACCUCCAGCCAGGCCUCUGUGGCUUCUGUUUCCUUCUCCCUUUCUUGGCCCUCCUCUGCUCCUCCCCACACC
rnacentral:sRNA from 1 species